GAAGCUUGCAAACCUCUCUGCUGCCCGCACCAGCAAGACUCCGCCCCGCCACUUCCUGGCUCCAGGCUGGACUUAGGGAUUCCAGCUAGGUGGCCCUGGGUCCCACCCUCGCCUUCCACCAACAACCACGAUUGAAACUUUGGGGGCUACUUGAAAUUUUUUGAGCCAACAGACUGCAAAAGCUUUUGUUAAUGACACCGUGAAACUUGACCCACAGUGCGAGCGAGUGAGUAAAAAUGAAGAAGAAAAGGAAGGAGAAGGCAGAGGAAAAGGAGAAGAAACAGAAGCAGCCACAGUCAGGGGACGACACGAAGUAAAAGACACCACAGAGACCUGCAGCAUGCUCAGACCUCAGAUCUCAAGUCUCAGGUCUCAUUUACUAGCAGCCACCAGGUUCCAGAUGCUACCAUGAUGCCAACUUGAUUUCCCUGGACAGACGACCCCACCAAUGGUCCUGAAGCCCCACCUCCCCCAGAUCCUUGCCCACUAGGGAAAGAGAGACAGGC